ACUCACUACUACGACUACUACAACUUUGUUAUUUCCAAGCUUCUUCAAUCACCUCUCAACAAAUUAAAAUGGCUCAAGAAAUCGCCCAGACUUUGGCAGGAGCACAAGGUUGAAAAAUACGGACCUUAUGGUUCUCAAUUACCUGAAAACUACAGCUUUCAACUUCAAAAGGGUUAAAGUUUCAAGGAAGUCAUAGUAAGGCAUGGUUACGUUGUGGAUGCAAUUGGGUUCGUUGUAGCUAAGACAUGUGGAGUUACCUACACCAUCACCAAGAUGUUUGGUGGCAAUGGCGGAUGCGAGUCAAAGAUUGUGCUCAAGGAAGGUGAAAAAAUAACUAUAAUUAGCGGUACGUAUGGAAAGUACGAAUAUCAAAACAACGAAUGCGUGAUUGCUACAAUGAAGAUCCACACCAAUUUUAUGUCCAAUGGGGUAUGGACCAUUUGGAAAAGGAAAGGGAAUUCAAUGUCCGCAAGAAUUCCCAUCACCAAUGCUACUAGACGGCUCUAUUGUCGGAGUUUUUUGGAAGGCACAACAACUAUGUCGAGUCUGUUGGAGUUUUCGUCAAGAGGAUGGUGAGACAAGAUUAUUCAUAAACUGUUAAGAUCACCAAUGCAAGAUUUUUCAUAAUAAUGGAUAUUGCUAAUUCUUUUUUGUUGUACGCACCUAAUAAUGUUAUUGUUGGUUUCCAUGUCAAA